GGAGGACCUCUGGAGGAGAGGGUGGACGAGUGGGACGCAGAGGCUCAUGACGUCGUCUCCCUAUUGUGUGCGUGUCCGUGUUUUUCUUUUUUUGUCUGUACUCGAUCUACUCACGGGUCGCGGUGAUGAUGCGGUGAGGACGUAGGAUGCUACGAGGCUGAGGGGGUGAGAGGGAGAGAGAGAGAGAGAGAGAGAGAGAGAGAGAGAGAGAGAGAGAGAGAGAGAGAGAGAGAGAGAGAGAGAGAGAGAGAGAGAGAGAGAGAGAGAGAGAGAGAGAGAGAGAGAGAGAGAGAGAGAGAGAGAGAGAGAGAGAGAGAGGUAAAGAAAGAGUGGGCUGCAAGUGAAAUAGCCCACCGUCAUCCUGGUCGCUGAGCUCACCGCGCGCGCACGCUCCGGAGGCUACUGCGGUAAAGAUGCGGCGACGCACGAUGCUUCGCCGUGAUGGAUAAUCGUAAUCGCAAUGGCUUUACGAAGAGGUAAACAAUCAUGAUUAUUAGCUUUACAAAUAAUGCAUUGGAAGUGGGUGGCCCCCGUAUAAUGUAAAUUUGACGGUUUCUGACGGCUGUGGGUCCUCGUGCAGGCCGUUCGUCAGAGGAUGAGGACGUCGUGGUGGUGAGUCUGAGGAUGGGGCCAUGAAGACCGAAGCAGGGUGUAACGUUUCGAUAACAGGAGAUGCUCUCCACGUAGGCCACUGAACAAAGAAAGGGAGAUUUGAGAUGCUGAAACUGCUGUGAAAACCCGCCGUAAACCCCCGGAGCAGGACAUCAGUUGUUGGCGGCCGUGUGACUCAGAGCUCUGCCUCCUCGCUCUGACAGGAGCCAACGCUGCCCCCUUCCCCCCGCCACCCUCCCAGCCCGGCGAUCGCACAGCGCUGUCAGCAGGGGAACUGUGGAGCUCUACGGGAGAUGAAGCAGGCCCCCGCGGCCCUCGUCUUCCUCGUCUUCCUCGUCAGUGUUUACAGUUCCUGUUUACAGUCCUGACCCACGGGCGUUUUUCCCCCUCCUCUUCAGGAGCGGCGCGGCUCGCCGGUGUCUCGGAGGAACGAGGUCCGCCCAUCACGUCUUUCUCUCCAGGAGAAGGACUGGAUCCUUUUUAAUUCGUCCUUUUUGCAGAACUUGAGACAUAACGCGAGAGAAGCGUAGUCCCAGCCUUUUUAUCAUCCAAUCAAGUUCGACAUGCUUCCGAGUGGAAUGAAACACUGAUAGGACGACACUGGUAAAGUAGAGCAGUUCUCCCUUGAGCCUUUGAAACCGAGAUAUUUUCACUUUUUCUGCAGUCAGACUGAUCACAUGCUCUUUGAAAUCCUAAUAUACGCGUUCUAAAUAAGAGACACGCAAAACCCAGUCGCUGAACUUUACAUGAGACCUGAAUCGAGCGCGAUGCUCCAGCAAAACAACAACAACAACUACCCAUGCCUCAACAUGACCGGCCCCACAGGUGGAGAGGGCAUCCAGGCAUGCCCCCGGGCCCAUGGGCCCUUCCCCAGCCGCAUGGAGCUCAGUCUGGGGGACCUUCCGCUGGUCAGGGGCCUCCGGGCCUGGGCCCUCUGCUCCAAGAACCGCCUGAAGACCAGGGGAGAGCUGGGGGGUGGAGGGCAUGCUCCAACCAUUGGACCCUCCACCACCAGCACCACCCAUGAGAGGCAGAGCUCCUGCCCCAGGCCUGCGGACAUGUACCCGGCCGGGGAGCUGGGCGGCAUGGGCUACGGGCUUCCGGUGGGGCUGGACGCCAGGCAGGCCGGAAUAGGUGCCCUGGUCACCGUAGCAACGCUGAAGACCUCUGAGGUGGGGGGGAAGACGCAGACCCAGACCCAGUGCCUGUUCCUCCGGACUGAGAAGGGAAGCUGCCUCUACUCCACGACCAAGCCCGGAGGCUGGUCCCUGGGGAAGGGCCCGGGCCUGUCUGCCGGCGGGGCCUCUGCCCUGGUCGGGAGCUGGCUCAGAGGGAAGGUCAGUGGAGGAGGAGGCGGAGGAGGCGGAGAGCACCAGGCGGGGAAGAGAACCAGCGGGCCUCCUCUUCCUCCCCCUCCGGCGGCUCUACAGAGCGGCGGGUCCAACCGGGUCCGGGUGCGUUCGGGCCGGCGCUGGAGGAAGUCCUGCAACGCCAACGGCCCGGGAUCGAACAAAACCACCGGCAUCGGCGGCCAGAGGAGAGGCCGGGAGGAGGCUGGUGGCACGGAAAUCAUCCUGGGAGAAUGCCAGGAAGGGGGAGACAAAGGCGAGUUCCACAACAACCUCCAGGGCGCUCAGGAGGCCGGAGGGGGAGGCCGUAAACAGGAGGGCGGUGCAGGAUGCACAAGGAGCUGCCGAUGCUGUCACAACACUCUGGCCAGGAACUGCGCUCGAUGUGCGAGGCGAGCUGUGCGGUCGGGCGCGAGGCAGAGGCUGGAGGAACACAAGACCCAGGCGGGAGACGAGCGUGGCAUGAACGGGCUGGGGAACAAGGACGGAGGGAAGACAAAUGGAGGACAAGAAAAGGGAGAGCAGGAGAAGGAGAGGGAGGAGGAGGAGAAGAGCAGGUCAAAGCCUCUUGACUCCAUUGUGUCGCUGCCAAACGCUGACUCGCCGACAAAUUGCUUUUACCCAGAAUCCUCCAGCAACAGCGAGGCGUCUGAAAAAAGCUGUGACAAGGACAUUAGGGAAGUAAAUGAACCCCUACAGACAAAAAUGUGCACUUAUUCAGAGAACAAAGAACAGCCCUGCUCCCAAAACAGCAGGAACGAAGACUUUGGCCGGACUCUGAGAAACCCAAGUGGUGAGGAGCUCAACAAUGGCGAGUUGGACACUCCUCUGACUGAUGAUGUUAGACCACACAGUGAGUACCUGGACGAUAGCCUGCCUCUACCAAAUGGCACCUCAUCUCCACCCCUGGUAGUCCGGAACCCUGUGCAGAAACACUGUGAAGACGUGGGGCGUAAUGUAGGUGAGAUCCCAGCGGUAGCAGACACAGAACCAACUCAGGACUCCAAGAGUCCCUGUGACGACCCGCAAGAGGACAGAGGAAACCGUUUGUGGUCCGACGAAUGCGCCGCGGAAACAGCCCCCUGCUGUGAAGAGGGCCUACACCGUCUUACCUCAGCCACACCUGUAGAGGGCAGCACCUUCCCUGCUGAACUAAGCCUCGACACCAUGCAGGGGCAGCGAGGGAGCAGCACUGCAGACAGGGAACACAACAACAGCCAUACAGAGAGCGCUGACGGGGGCAGUGCAGAGAAGGGGGACCGGGACCAUAGUAAAGGUCGUCCACUUGAGUUGUGUGUCAAAUCAGACCAGCUCAUGCCACGAGAAUCCUCUCCUGGGGAUUUAUACACAAAAGAGCCUUUUCAUGAGGAGAAGCCUCUGAAAGACACGGGCGAUGUAAACUGUAAUGAACCCGAGGUGGUGUUAUCAGAGGAGCAGAGGGGCUCCUGUCAUCAGGCAACGCUGAGUUGUAGAAAUGAGGGGAAGGCCGGUAAAGACGAGGCGAACGCCGCUGACUCUGCCCCAGGGCUCAGAGAGGUAGACGGCCUCCAGGGAGGAUCCAUCCCAGAAGCAGUCAGGGGGACGUUGAUGAAGGUCGCAGAGGGGGAGGAAGAUAAGAGGCUAGGAGAUGAAGAGGAUUGCAGCGGGGUUGAGUUUGAGGAGGGGAGGGGAGAGGAGCUGGCAGGGGAACACAGACGAGCCGAGUCAGGUUUGGAGAGUUCUGUUGACGGCAGCGAGACAGUGCCAGGGCUUAGAGGGGAUGACGGCAGCCAGGAGAUUACUGGAGAAGAGGAGAAGAAGGAGAAUAAUAAGCACGACCAAAGCCUUCAAGAUGGCAGUGCCGGGACGACGGAUGAUGAAAAACACGGCAACUCAGAGGGGAAGUUAGGCCAGGGCGAGGCCGAAUACAUCAGACUGCAGCAGCCGCAACGGGAGAGGGAAAGGGGAGACGCGCUGAAGGCUUCAGGUUUCACUGCAGAGGGACCGACACUCCAGGAAUUUGCCACUGAAUGGACACAAGAGGCAAGCUGUGCACCCUCCCUGUCCCCACGUCUCCUGAAGGAGGAGGAGGAGGAGGAGGGGGAGGAGGGGGAGGCGGCGAGGUGGAGCAGAGACGGAGGACAAAACCCUGUAGAGGCUGUAGUGACCUGUUGCCCCCUCUCACUAAUUCCUACCAUUACAAACGCCGCCGCCGGCCCCCCCCUACCUGAUCCCCCCUAUAAAACCCAUGCCGUGGCUAAUCCCGCCCCCCCUCGGCCCCCGCCGGGAGCCAUGGCAACGGACCCGCAACGCACGGGGGCAGGCGGGAAGAGCGCGUGGACGCAGAGCAGGGUGGAAGAAGGGAGCAGGGAGGGAGUAAGAGGAGCGCAGGAGGAGGAGGAGGAGGAGGAGGAAGAGGCGGGGGAGGGAGCCACGCUGUCUGAGAGAACGGAGGAGCCCGGCCAGGAGAAGGAGGAGCAGGAGGAGAGACUUAAAGAGAGGAGCCAGGAGCAGAGCGCCAUUGUGGCCACCGAGCGAAGGGAGCAGGGGGAGGAGGAGGAGGAAGAUGAGUUUGGGGGGUUCAUGCAGGCGGACGCAGAGCCCGGCUGGAGCGAGGGAUUUACUCCUUCUGCCCCAGAGGCUUGUGGGAACACAGAAAACACUGGGGAGUUAACCCAAUGGACAUCUGGCUGGACGGACGACUCAUUCCACCAAUCAGACGACUGCUGGACAGCUUUUUCUCAGGACUCAUUGGUUGCGAGUGGUGACCCAGUAGCACAGUUGUGGCCAAUCGCUGCUGGGGAAGAGCAGAGAGGGAGGCCCUCAUCCAAUAAGAAUGUGAUGGACGUGUUGUCUGAGGCCUUCCCCUCCUCAGGCCAGCUGGCCUCUGACCCCGGGACUGGGUCUGGGAUGGUCCCAACGCUGACCUCUGAGACGGGGGUGGAGUCUGGGACGGUCCCAACGCUGACGCAGCUCCUUCAGGGAGAGCGACACCACUCCAGGACCACCCAAGACCAGGGUCUGUUGGACAAUUUCCACGACUUGAACAAAAUGAUUGGUCAGCGCUACAAGAGGACCAACGGCGUGUCUCGCGACCUGCUUCUCAAGACCUUAUACCUGGAGCCGGCCUACACUGAAAUCAGAAACAUAUCCAGGCCGACCAAUCACAGGCUCUCCCCUGGCCUCCCUUCGGCCAAUCGGCACGCUCAGAGCUCCAAGCGGCGUCUGUCGUACGACCACAACAGAAACAUCGCAGAGUAACGUGUCAGAGUGGGAGCCCAGCGUCGCUCCAGCCUGUCUGACUGCUGUACGGUGCACUCCCUGGGUGGAAGUGGACUUUUAGACUUUCAACAGGAUUCAGCCACAGCCUGAGGGAAUUGGACCCAAACACUUUUUUCUAAAGACCACCGGGGUCAAAGGUUCACCUCACACAUCCACUGUGUAUCACCUGCAACGUAUCCCUAGAUUUGACUAUUCGUCUAACCUAUUUUUGACCUUGUUGCAGUUCCUCGUCCCCUGACAGCCGUAUCACUUAGAUUUGCCACAAAUUGCAUCAGUUAUUGGCAAUUUAAAUGAAAUGUCAAUAAUAUCAGCAAAGCUUGAUGCAUGACACAAACACCGUUGAUUUCUUCUCGCUUUUUUUCAGAGAAUAAGUGUAUGGACCAGACUGUUUGGUAGGAAAGCACCUGGGCAGCUUUUUAGAGCGAUAGUUGAGAGCGUAGUUUCCAUUGACUGCUACUUGAAAUCUGCUUGUAAAGAAGCACUACAGUCCUCCCGUUGUUGUAGCGGUGAAAACGUAACUGGCGAAACUUUAAAUCACUAAUUUAAGUCACUGACUCUAGUUUAAGCUUUUGAAGUUGGAAACGUCUCCCGUUAAGUAAAACCUCAAAAGAUGACUUAAAAAGACUGGUUCUCAUCUCUUUUGAAACAUUUGUGAUCCCAAAGUGACCACAAAGCAGGUAGAGAGCAUUGAUGCUCUGGCUACCAGCUGAUCCAUCUGAACUAAAUCGCUUUUUCAUCAUCCCUUGACCAUCUCCAAAGUCCAAGGUUUUGAGAAAGAGUUGAUUAAUAUAAUCAGGAUAGGAUUAAUUUGUCCUGGUUUAUGUUAUUUACUUUUUUCCCACCAUGUGAAUUGACUGCUCGAAGAUGUGUGUUAACCUUCAAAUGUCAAACAUCAUUUUAUCCCAUGUGAUCAUCGAACUUGACCUUUUGUUGUUUGCUGAACUUGAAAUGGCACUUAUGAUAGUAAACCUCUUUUUUCUAUCCCAACAGGAGGGAUUAUAAUUGAUUAUUUCUCUGGUCACAAUAGAAAUGGCAAAUGUGUGAUUUUGUUGUGAGUUCUUAAGAGUUUUUGUUGUGUACUGUCAGUAACACUGGAAUUAUUAUUAUUACCAAAUGUGAGAAUUGAUUUGAUCAGAAAAAAUAUAUAUUCGUCUUCCAAACAGUGCCAAUAACAAAAUGAAUAAUUAAAAGUGCCAAUUUUUUUACAAGGUUACUUAAAAUCGAUGGCAGAUUGGGGCAUUUGUGAGGAAGUGUUUCUUCACAAAUCGUCUGUAUUCUCGAAUCGACACAAACCGGCCUCCAGCCUUCUCUUAAUUAAUCUCCUCUCCGUCUGACUGCAUGUCCGUCUUUCUGUCUGUCCGUCAAUGCACUGAUUCCAUUACUUUGCCGAGGCCCGUGUUGAUUCAAAACCCAAGCCUACCUGCCGAUCUGAACGCUGUUCUCGCGAGAGGAACGAUCAAACUGUCAUCAUCUCCAUAGCGCAGUGAACCGUUUUGCAACCAAAUUUUGAUUCCUUUCAACAUUCUGUCAUGUGUCAGAGGUCAUGUGUGGUGAAUGUCAGCCAUUUGUACAAUCUGUGGAUUCCAGCAGAAAAAGAUGAAUAUUUUCUGAACUGUUCACAAUGGAAAAAAUAAAAAAGGUCAACUUGUCAAGUGAUGUAAUAAAAUGAUCCCGCUGUAAGAGCUGCCUGUUAACAUUCUCUGAUCAGGUGCUAUAUUGACAACGAUAUACAGAAGGGCCGGUAGUUUGGAGACUUUCAGGUCAAUCAUGUAGAUAUCCUUUACUAUCAUGAACCCAUCAGGUGUUGUGGAAAAUGAUUGUCAUUAGAAAAACAAGGGUGUUAGGUAUUGUCUUUCUGGUAAUUGAUGUAGUACUG
ensembl:lncRNA